GGCACUAUGGCCGAGUGGUUAAGGCGCUGUGUUUAGGAAAUCCAAAACCGCAGUGGGAAACCGCAUGGGUUCAAAUCCCAUUGGUGUCA
rfam:Rhizoctonia solani AG-1 IB, isolate 7/3/14, WGS project CAOJ01000000 data, contig: 15171